rnacentral:lncRNA from 1 species
GGGGGGGCGCCCUGGGGAACGGCCCUGCGCCCCCCAUCCCGCGCCUCGGCAUCGGGCCCUACAACUGGAACACGGAGUGCCUGCGGGGCGACGCCGAGGCCCCCGGCUGGGCCACCGCCUUCCCCCAGGCGCUGGGGCUCGCCGCCUCCUUCAGCCCCGAGCUCGUCUACCGCGUGGCCAACGCCACCGCCACCGAAGUGAGAGCCAAGCACAACCAUUUCGCCGCCGCGGGCCGCUACGAGGACCACACGGGGCUCAGCUGCUUCAGCCCGGUGCUGAACAUCAUGCGGCACCCGCUGUGGGGCAGGAACCAGGAGACGUACGGGGAGGACCCGUUCCUCACCGCGGAGCUGGCCACGAGCUUCGUGCAGGGGCUGCAGGGCCAGCACCCGCGCUACAUCAAGGCUAGCGCCGGCUGCAAGCACUUCAGCGUGCACGGGGGCCCCGAGAACAUCCCCGUCUCCAGGCUCAGCUUCGACGCCAAGGUGCUGGAGCGGGACUGGCGCAUGACCUUCCUGCCCCAGUUCCAGGCUUGCGCGCGCGCCGGCUCCUACAGCUUCAUGUGCAGCUACAACAGGAUCAACGGCGUCCCGGCCUGCGCCAACAAGAAGCUGCUGACGGACAUCCUGCGGGGCGAGUGGGGCUUCGAGGGCUACGUGGUGAGCGACGAGGGCGCCGUGGAGCUCAUCAUGCUGGGGCACCACUACACGCGCAGCUUCCUGGAGACAGCCGUGGCCGCGGUGAACGCCGGCUGCAACCUGGAGCUCUCCUACGGCCUGAAGAACAACGUCUUCAUGCACAUCACCGAGGCCUUGGCCACGGGCAACAUCACGCUGGAGACGCUGCGCGCCCGGGUCCGGCCCCUCUUCUACACGCGCCUGCGGCUGGGGGAGUUCGACCCCCCGGCCAUGAACCCCUACAGCGCCCUGGACCUGAGCGCCGUGCAGAGCCCUGCGCAUCGCGCCCUCGCGCUCGAAGCCGCCGUCAAGAGCUUCGUGCUGCUGAAGAACGCGGGGGACACGCUGCCCCUCCGGGCGCAGGACCUGCGGGGCCGGCGCAUCGCGGUCGUGGGCCCCUUCGCUGACAACCCCAAGGUCCUGUUUGGGGACUACGCGCCCGUCCCGGAGCCCCAGUACAUUUAUACACCUCGGAGGGGUCUGGAGACGCUGCCAGCCACCAUCAGCUUCGCGGCGGGCUGCGGCGAGCCGCGGUGCCAGCAGUACUCGCCGGCCGAGGUGGAGGGAGCGGCGCGGGGAGCCGACGUGGUGGUGGUGUGCCUGGGCACGGGGACGGAUGUGGAGACGGAGGGGAAGGACCGGGAGGACCUGUCGCUGCCCGGCCACCAGCUGGAGCUGCUGCAGGACGCCGUGCACGCGGCUGCUGGGCGCCCCGUCGUGCUGCUGCUGUUCAACGCGGGGCCGCUGGACGUGAGCUGGGCGCAGGGGCACGACGGCGUGGGCGCCAUCCUGGCGUGCUUCUUCCCGGCGCAGGCUGCCGGCCUGGCCAUCGCCAGGGUGCUGCUGGGCGAGGAGGGGGCCAACCCGGCCGGCCGGCUCCCGGCCANNNNNNNNNNNNNNNNNNNNNNNNNNNNNNNNNNNNNNNNNNNNNNNNNNNNNNNNNNNNGUGGGUCCCACGCGGCCGCUUCCCGCAGGUGCCGCCAAUGGAGAACUACACCAUGGCGGGGCGGACGUACCGCUACUACGGGCAGGAGGCCCCGCUCUACCCCUUCGGCUACGGGCUCUCCUACACCACCUUCCGCUACCAGGAGCUGGUGCUGAGCCCCGCGGCGCUGCCCGCCUGCGCCAACCUCUCCGUGUCCGUGGUGGUGCAGAACACGGGGCGGCGGGACGGCGAGGAGGUGAGCGCCGCRGGGCUCCGGCUCUGCCCCGGCCGCAGCGGGGAGCCGGGGUGGGAUGGGGGGGCAGCCGGGGGCCCCGCGGGCGCUGACGGCCCUCCCCGCUUGCAGGUGGUGCAGCUGUACCUGCGGUGGGAGCAGCCGUCCGUGCCGGUGCCCCGCUGGCAGCUGGUGGCCUUCCGCCGGGUGGCCCUGCCGGCGGGGCGGGCGGCCAAGCUGGCUUUCCGGGUGACGGCGGCGCAGCGUGCCGUCUGGGCGCCGCCGUGGCGCCUGGAGCCCGGCGCCUUCACGCUCUUCGCCGGCGGGCAGCAGCCGGGCCAGGAGACGCACGCCGCCUCCGAGGUGCUCAGCGGGCGCUUCAGGGUGACCGGCGCUGCCCGGCCCCUGAGCCGCUGCUAGGGACGCGCACGGCGGCGGCGGCGGGGGGACGCGGCGAGCUCGGGUGCCUGCCUUGCAAUAAAGCCUGCCCGGCGGCGCUCCCGCCCCA